UGAUGUUAGCGGCGGACGGGUGAGUAACACGUGGGUAACCUGCCUGUAAGACUGGGAUAACUCCGGGAAACCGGGGCUAAUACCGGAUGGUUGUCUGAACCGCAUGGUUCAGACAUAAAAGGUGGCUUCGGCUACCACUUACAGAUGGACCCGCGGCGCAUUAGCUAGUUGGUGAGGUAACGGCUCACCAAGGCGACGAUGCGUAGCCGACCUGAGAGGGUGAUCGGCCACACUGGGACUGAGACACGGCCCAGACUCCUACGGGAGGCAGCAGUAGGGAAUCUUCCGCAAUGGACGAAAGUCUGACGGAGCAACGCCGCGUGAGUGAUGAAGGUUUUCGGAUCGUAAAGCUCUGUUGUUAGGGAAGAACAAGUGCCGUUCAAAUAGGGCGGCACCUUGACGGUACCUAACCAGAAAGCCACGGCUAACUACGUGCCAGCAGCCGCGGUAAUACGUAGGUGGCAAGCGUUGUCCGGAAUUUAUUGGGCGUAAAGGGCUCGCAGGCGGUUUCUUAAGUCUGAUGUG
rnacentral:rRNA from 1 species